rnacentral:rRNA from 1 species
UACGUAGGGGGCAAGCGUUGUCCGGAUUUAUUGGGCGUAAAGAGCGUGUAGGCGGCCACACAGGUCUGCUGUGAAAACUCGAGGCUCAACCUCGAGCUGUCGGUGGAAACCGUGUGGCUAGAGUCCGGAAGAGGAGAGUGGAAUUCCCGGUGUAGCGGUGAAAUGCGCAGAUAUCGGGAAGAACACCCGUGGCGAAGGCGGCUCUCUGGGACGGUACUGACGCUGAGACGCGAAAGCGUGGGUAGCAAACAGG